rnacentral:rRNA from 1 species
GAUGGCUUACCAUGCAAGUCGAGGGGUAACAGAUCUUCGGAUGCUGACGACCGGCGAACGGGUGAGUAACACGUAUGCAACUUACCCAUAACUCGGGAAUAGCCCAAAGAAAUUUGGAUUAAUACCCAAUAAUACAGGCGUACCGCAUGGUAUUCUUCGUUAAAGAAUAAUCGGUUAUGGAUAGGCAUGCGUUCUAUUAGGUAGUUGGUGAGGUAACGGCUCACCAAGCCGACGAUGGAUAGGGGAACUGAGAGGUUGUCCCCCCACACUGGUACUGAGACACGGACCAGACUCCUACGGGAGGCAGCAGUGAGGAAUAUUGGUCAAUGGACGAAAGUCUGAACCAGCCAAAUCGCGUGAAGGAAGAAGGUAUUAUGUAUCGUAAACUUCUUUUGUAAGAGAGUAAAGUGCACUACGUGUAGUGUAUUGCAAGUACCUUACGAAUAAGCAUCGGCUAAUUCCGUGCCAGCAGCCGCGGUAAUACGGAAGAUGCAAGUGUUAUCCGGAUUUAUUGGGUUUAAAGGGUGCGUAGGUGGUCUAAUAAGUCAGUGGUGGAAUCUCUUUGCUUAACAAGGAAAUUGCCAUUGAAACUGUUAGACUUGAGAAUGGACGAGGUAGGCGGAAUUCGUAGUGUAGCGGUGAAAUGCAUAGAUAUUACGAAGAACUCCAAUAGUGUAGACUGCUUACCAGACCAUAUCUGACACUAAGGCACGAAAGUGUGGGUAUCAAACAGGAUUAGAUACCCUGGUAGUCCACACAGUAAACGAUGAAUACUAACUGUUUGCGAUAUACAGCAAGUGGUCGAGCGAAAGCGUUAAGUAUUCCACCUGGGAAGUAUGCCGGCAACGGUGAAACUCAAAGGAAUUGACGGGGGCCCGCACAAGCGAGACUGUGUUAUUCGUAUUGAUAGACGCCGAGGAACCUUACCCGGCUUCGAACGUUAUUGAAUACAU